rnacentral:rRNA from 1 species
GACGAACGCUGGCGGCGUGCCUAAUACAUGCAAGUCGAGCGGGGAUUAUGCUUGAUCGCUUCGGUGAGACGGCAUAUAUCCUAGCGGCGGACGGGUGAGUAACGCGUGGGUAAUCUACCUCGUAGUUCGGGAUAACAGGCCGAAAGGCUUGCUAAUACCGGAUGAGUUCAUGCUUAUGCAUAUAGGCAUGAAGAAAGGGCUAGCCCGCUAUGAGAUGAGCCCGCGUCCCAUUAGCUUGUUGGUGGGGUAAUGGCCUACCAAGGCAACGAUGGGUAGCCGGCCUGAGAGGGUGUACGGCCACACUGGGACUGAGACACGGCCCAGACUCCUACGGGGGGCAGCAGUAGGGAAUUUUCGGCAAUGGGCGAAAGCCUGACCGAGCGACGCCGCGUGAGGGACGAAGGCCUUCGGGUUGUAAACCGUCUGUCUGGGGGAGUGAGAACGGACGGUACCCCCGGAGGAAGCCCGGCUAACUACGUG